rnacentral:rRNA from 1 species
UUAUCGUACAAAAUGUGAGGGGCCACGCAAAGGGCUGUCGCUGACUCAAAAGGAGUUGUGCACGCCCUUGUGUGUCCUUAUCGCAUAAUAAUCCACCUCACCCUUUGUGCACCACCGCGUGGGUGCCCUUUUGUGAUCAGACCUGAUCUCGGAGGGUGCUCGCGUUUUCACACAAACCCCCCCUUUUAAAAGUGUAGAGUGACCUCGUUUAUGCGCUAACCCGCAAUCAAUACAACUUUCAACAACGGAUCUCUUGGCUCUCGCAUCGAUGAAGAACGCAGCGAAAUGCGAUACGUAAUGUGAAUUGCAGAAUUCAGUGAAUCAUCGAAUCUUUGAACGCACCUUGCGCCCCUUGGUAUUCCGAGGGGCACACCCGUUUGAGUGUCGUGAAAAUCUCAACCUCCUUGGUUUCUUCUGGAGACCAAAGGAGGCUUGGACUUUGGAGGCAUUUGCUGGCAUCUUCUCUCUUUUGAAGGUUCAGCUCCUCUCAAAUGAAUUAGCGGGGUCCUCUUUGCCGAUCCUUGACAUGUGAUAAGAUGUUUCC